AAACCAGCACCUCAAGUGGUCAGGAGGAUUAUUGGGCCUAAAGCAUCCGUAGCCUGUUCUAUAAGUUUCCGGUUAAAUCCACUAGCUCAACUAGUGGGCUGCCGAAAAUACUGUAGAACUAGGGAGUGGGAGAGGUAGACGGUAUUCGGUAGGAAGGGGUAUAAUCCUUUGAUCUAUUGAGGACCACCUGUGGCGAAGGCGGUCUACCAGAACACGUUCGACGGUGAGGGAUGAAAGCUGGGGGAGCAAACCGGAUUAGAAACCCGAGUAGUCC
rnacentral:rRNA from 1 species